rnacentral:rRNA from 1 species
CGCUGGCGGCGUGCUUAACACAUGCAAGUGGAGCGACGAACCGGGGCUUGCCCCGGGCAGAGCCGCGAACGGGUGAGUAACACGUGGGUAACCUGCCUCAAUGAUUGGGACAACCCGGGGAAACUCGGGCUAAUACCAAAUGUGUUCACUCCUUCUAAGGGGAGUGAGGAAAGGAAGCUUCGGCCUCCGCAUUGAGAUGGGCCCGCGGCCCAUUAGCUUGUUGGUGAGGUAACGGCUCACCAAGGCUUCGAUGGGUAGCUGGUCUGAGAGGACGAUCAGCCACACUGGGACUGAGACACGGCCCAGACUCCUACGGGAGGCAGCAGUGGGGAAUCUUGCACAAUGCGCGAAAGCGUGAUGCAGCAACGCCGCGUGGGGGAAGACGGCCUUCGGGUUGUAAACCCCUUUCAGUUGGGACGAAGCUUCGUCGGUGAAUAGCCGGUUGGAGUGACGGUACCUUCAGAAGAAGCCCCGGCUAACUACGUG